ACCCAGACUCCUACGGGAGGCAGCAGUGGGGAAUAUUGCACAAUGGGGGAAACCCUGAUGCAGCAACGCCGCGUGAGUGAAGAAGUCAUUCGUGAUGUAAAGCUCUAUCAGCAGGGAAGAAAAUGACGGUACCUGAGUAAGAAGCCCCGGCUAACUACGUGCCAGCAGCCGCGGUAAUACGUAGGGGGCAAGCGUUAUCCGGAUUUACUGGGUGUAAAGGGGGCGCAGACGGCGAUGCAAGCCAGGAGUGAAAGCCCGGGGCCCAACCCCGGGACUGCUCUUGGAACUGCGUGGCUGGAGUGCAGGAGGGGCAGGCGGAAUUCCUGGUGUAGCGGUGAAAUGCGUAGAUAUCAGGAAGAACACCGGUGGCGCAGGCGGCUUGCUGGACGGCAACUGACGCUGAGGCUCGAAAGCGUGGGGAGCAAACAGGAUUAGAUACCCCUGUACUA
rnacentral:rRNA from 1 species